UUGAAAUUCUAUUUAAAGCACAAUGAGAACUAACCUGCACGCUUUUUCUGCAUAGUUUCAAUUGCAGAGAGGAAGGAGUUGUAGAGGUCCAGUGUUAUGAAAACUGAUUUGACUGCUGCUUCCUUGUUGGGUUCUUGCACAGCUUUGAGCAACAUUUUGUUGUGAUCUUUGGAGAUCACGUUCAAAAGGCCAAUGCAGUUCGUACGGCAAAAUAUCACAUUUAACACAGGGAAACACCCAAUUGGCUGUAAUAACCCAACUGCUACCUUUUUUAUCCCUAAGCUGUGAAUGCGUUUAAGAUUUACAGACAUUUGCUUCACAAGGGAUUCCAUGAAGCCUGGGAGGUGAUAACGACAAGCGCAGAGAGACACUUGACAAGGAAGAUAAAUUAAAAAAGGGAAAAUUGAAUGAGAAAAGAGAUGUCAAUUGGUUGUGCUUGUGCGUGAGCUGAUGAAAGUUGUGUUCAUUAACA